UACGUAGGGCGCGAGCGUUGUCCGGAAUUAUUGGGCGUAAAGAGCUCGUAGGCGGCCUGUCACGUCCGCUGUGAAAUCCCGGGGCUCAACCCCGGGCCUGCAGUGGAUACGGGCUGGCUGGAGGCAGGCAGGGGAGAACGGAAUUCCUGGUGUAGCGGUGAAAUGCGUAGAUAUCUGGAGGAACACCGGUGGCGAAGGCGGCAUCCUGGACCAACACUGACGCUGAGGAGCGAAAGCCAGGGGAGCAAACGGG
rnacentral:rRNA from 1 species